GAUGAACGCUGGCGGCGUGCCUAAUACAUGCAAGUCGAGCGAACAGACGAGGAGCUUGCUCCUCUGACGUUAGCGGCGGACGGGUGAGUAACACGUGGAUAACCUACCUAUAAGACUGGGAUAACUUCGGGAAACCGGAGCUAAUACCGGAUAACAUGUUGAACCGCAUGGUUCAACAGUGAAAGACGGUCUUGCUGUCACUUAUAGAUGGAUCCGCGCCGCAUUAGCUAGUUGGUAAGGUAACGGCUUACGAAGGCAACGAUGCGUAGCCGACCUGAGAGGGUGUUCGGCCACACGGGAACUGAGACACGGUCCAGACUCCUACAGGAGGCAGCAGUAGGGAAUCUUCCGCAAUGGGCGAAAGCCUGACGGAGCAACGCCGCGUGAGUGAAGAAGGUCUUCGGAUCGUAAAACUCUGUUAUUAGGGAAGAACAAAUUUGUAAGUAACUAUGCACGUCUUGACGGUACCUAAUCAGAAAGCCACGGCUAACUACGUG
rnacentral:rRNA from 1 species